CAAUAGCGUAUAUUAAAGUUGUUGCGGUUAAAAAGCUCGUAGUUGGAUUUCUGCUGAGGAUGACCGGUCCGCCCUCUGGGCAGGUAUCUGGCUCAGCCUUGGCAUCUUCCUGAAGAACGCAGCUGCACUUGACUGUGUGGUGCGGUAUUUAGGACAUUUACUUUGAGGAAAUUAGAGUGUUUCAAGCAAGCGCACGCCUUGAAUACAUUAGCAUGGAAUAAUAAGAUAGGACCUCGGUUCUAUUUUGUUGGUUUCUAGAACUGAGGUAAUGAUUGAUAGGGAUAGUUGGGGGCAUUCGUAUUUAACUGUCAGAGGUGAAAUUCUUGGAUUUGUUAAAGACGGGCUACUGCGAAAGCAUUUGCCAAGGAUGUUUUCAUUGA
rnacentral:rRNA from 1 species